rnacentral:snRNA from 1 species
AACACUUCAUAUACUUGGAGCUAAGAUCAAAGUGUAGUGUCUGUUCUUAUCAGUUUAAUAUGAUGUGUUCUUUAUUUGAGGACUGUAUAUUAAAUUGACUUCAUAUAUCGUAACUUAA